ensembl:lncRNA
GAGAUGUUUGUGUGUCUAGGAACGAAAGAUAGGGGAAACUAGCAGUGUCUGCUUUAGGCGCAGGUGUUUCCUGUUUAUGCAGGAGUGCAUGAAAGGGUCAAUGUCAGUGAGAUAGCUUGGCACUUCUAAGCUCGUUAUUGUUGCAGGCUGCUCUUUGUAGUUUUACAGGGAGUGUAUUUGCGUGAUGGCAGCUGUGUGUCCUUCGGAUAAUCAUGUUAUUGCACACAGGCUCUAGACUUGACUGAGGACACUGGGCCCAGAGUUGUCUGAGGGCAUCCGGUUUAACCAGAGUGUUGGUCUACUAGUAACGCUUUAUAUUAGAUUAUUUAUAUAACAGUUGAGGGGGCAAUGUUUGUGAUUUGGACCGUCCCUUAAGUUGGCAAUCAAACUGCAUCUGGUUUCGGGACUGGGAUUCCCCCGAAUCCCCAAGGGAAAGUGGCUAGCACAAGGGCUGAGGGGGUACAAAUAACCUGUUUGGACUGCAGUCCGAUUUUCUGCCUGCCUCUCUCUUCCUCUCUGGCAGUAUGAAGAUAAGCAGAAACUGCGGGCCUGUUUGAGUGGUAAUGCUGAAAGUAGAGGAGUGAAGUCAGGGAGGUCCAUCUACUAGGCUACAGCCGAAAGUCGGACGCAGGACCAUGCCUCAGGAUUACUUGGCCUGACAACUCCUGGCUGUCCUUGUCUCCAGUCCAACUGGUCGUGCUGCUGAUCCAGUUUCUGCUGCUCUGCCUUCGGCAAAAUGGAACCCUCACCUGUUCAUCAGUCAUGCUACCCUGUCCCAGACCUGCUGUUUUGACUGACUCUCUCUCUCUCUCUCUCUCUCUCUCUCUCUCUCUCUCUCUAUCUCUCUCUCUCUCUCUCU